AUCCAGCCAACGAGUCCCUAAUACGAUGAAACGCGCGUCCUGGAU
rnacentral:hammerhead_ribozyme from 1 species